rnacentral:tRNA from 1 species
GAGGACGCUGGGUGACGGAUAUUGUGUCUGUGUUUUGUGGGAACAGGGGCGGCAUUUGUCGCUGUUGGGGCUGUUCUGUGCCGCCGUUUUUG